CAGCAGCAGCCGCGGUAAUACAGAGGGUGCGAGCGUUAAUCGGAUUUACUGGGCGUAAAGCGUGCGUAGGCGGCUUUUUAAGUCGGAUGUGAAAUCCCUGAGCUUAACUUAGGAAUUGCAUUCGAUACUGGGAAGCUAGAGUAUGGGAGAGGAUGGUAGAAUUCCAGGUGUAGCGGUGAAAUGCGUAGAGAUCUGGAGGAAUACCGAUGGCGAAGGCAGCCAUCUGGCCUAAUACUGACGCUGAGGUACGAAAGCAUGGGGAGCAAACAGGAUUAGAUACCCGUGUAGUCCCUGUCUCUUAUAA
rnacentral:rRNA from 1 species